AAGUCGUAACAAGGUCUCCGUAGGUGAACCUGCGGAGGGAUCAUCAUAGAAAACAAUAUUCUAAACCCCAAGUGUUAGGAGAAAAGAGGGGAGGGGGAAAAAGGGGUAUUACUCUUUUUUUUUCUCUCCUUCUUUUUUCCUGAUGCUUCAAACAAACGAUCACAACUAAAGAGAGAAAAUUGUGUGGAUACCUGGGUUUUUUUCGAGGGGAAUUAUAUAAGUGCUUGCCUGAUAAUCUGAUUAUUGGAAUUGGAAAGAGAAAACAAUAUACAACUUUCAACAACGGAUCUCUUGGCUCUCA
rnacentral:misc_RNA from 1 species